rnacentral:rRNA from 1 species
GGUUAAGCGACUAAGCGUACACGGUGGAUGCCCUGGCAGUCAGAGGCGAUGAAGGACGUGCUAAUCUGCGAUAAGCGUCGGUGAGGUGAUAUGAACCGUUAUAACCGGCGAUUUCCGAAUGGGGAAACCCAGUGUGUUUCGACACACUAUCAUUAACUGAAUCCAUAGGUUAAUGAGGCGAACCGGGGGAACUGAAACAUCUAAGUACCCCGAGGAAAAGAAAUCAACCGAGAUUCCCCCAGUAGCGGCGAGCGAACGGGGAGGAGCCCAGAGCCUGAAUCAGUGUGUGUGUUAGUGGAAGCGUCUGGAAAGGCGCGCGAUACAGGGUGACAGCCCCGUACACAAAAAUGCACAUAUUGUGAGCUCGAUGAGUAGGGCGGGACACGUGGUAUCCUGUCUGAAUAUGGGGGGACCAUCCUCCAAGGCUAAAUACUCCUGACUGACCGAUAGUGAACCAGUACCGUGAGGGAAAGGCGAAAAGAACCCCGGCGAGGGGAGUGAAAAAGAACCUGAAACCGUGUACGUACAAGCAGUGGGAGCCUCUUUAUGGGGUGACUGCGUACCUUUUGUAUAAUGGGUCAGCGACUUAUAUUCUGUAGCAAGGUUAACCGAAUAGGGGAGCCGAAGGGAAACCGAGUCUUAACUGGGCGUUAAGUUGCAGGGUAUAGACCCGAAACCCGGUGAUCUAGCCAUGGGCAGGUUGAAGGUUGGGUAACACUAACUGGAGGACCGAACCGACUAAUGUUGAAAAAUUAGCGGAUGACUUGUGGCUGGGGGUGAAAGGCCAAUCAAACCGGGAGAUAGCUGGUUCUCCCCGAAAGCUAUUUAGGUAGCGCCUCGUGAAUUCAUCUCCGGGGGUAGAGCACUGUUUCGGCAAGGGGGUCAUCCCGACUUACCAACCCGAUGCAAACUGCGAAUACCGGAGAAUGUUAUCACGGGAGACACACGGCGGGUGCUAACGUCCGUCGUGAAGAGGGAAACAACCCAGACCGCCAGCUAAGGUCCCAAAGUCAUGGUUAAGUGGGAAACGAUGUGGGAAGGCCCAGACAGCCAGGAUGUUGGCUUAGAAGCAGCCAUCAUUUAAAGAAAGCGUAAUAGCUCACUGGUCGAGUCGGCCUGCGCGGAAGAUGUAACGGGGCUAAACCAUGCACCGAAGCUGCGGCAGCGACACUAUGUGUUGUUGGGUAGGGGAGCGUUCUGUAAGCCUGUGAAGGUGGCCUGUGAGGGUUGCUGGAGGUAUCAGAAGUGCGAAUGCUGACAUAAGUAACGAUAAAGCGGGUGAAAAGCCCGCUCGCCGGAAGACCAAGGGUUCCUGUCCAACGUUAAUCGGGGCAGGGUGAGUCGACCCCUAAGGCGAGGCCGAAAGGCGUAGUCGAUGGGAAACAGGUUAAUAUUCCUGUACUUGGUGUUACUGCGAAGGGGGGACGGAGAAGGCUAUGUUGGCCGGGCGACGGUUGUCCCGGUUUAAGCGUGUAGGCUGGUUUUCCAGGCAAAUCCGGAAAACCAAGGCUGAGGCGUGAUGACGAGGCACUACGGUGCUGAAGCGACAAAUGCCCUGCUUCCAGGAAAAGCCUCUAAGCAUCAGGUAACAUCAAAUCGUACCCCAAACCGACACAGGUGGUCAGGUAGAGAAUACCAAGGCGCUUGAGAGAACUCGGGUGAAGGAACUAGGCAAAAUGGUGCCGUAACUUCGGGAGAAGGCACGCUGAUAUGUAGGUGAAGCGACUUGCUCGUGGAGCUGAAAUCAGUCGAAGAUACCAGCUGGCUGCAACUGUUUAUUAAAAACACAGCACUGUGCAAACACGAAAGUGGACGUAUACGGUGUGACGCCUGCCCGGUGCCGGAAGGUUAAUUGAUGGGGUUAGCGGUAACGCGAAGCUCUUGAUCGAAGCCCCGGUAAACGGCGGCCGUAACUAUAACGGUCCUAAGGUAGCGAAAUUCCUUGUCGGGUAAGUUCCGACCUGCACGAAUGGCGUAAUGAUGGCCAGGCUGUCUCCACCCGAGACUCAGUGAAAUUGAACUCGCUGUGAAGAUGCAGUGUACCCGCGGCAAGACGGAAAGACCCCGUGAACCUUUACUAUAGCUUGACACUGAACAUUGAGCCUUGAUGUGUAGGAUAGGUGGGAGGCUUUGAAGUGUGGACGCCAGUCUGCAUGGAGCCGACCUUGAAAUACCACCCUUUAAUGUUUGAUGUUCUAACGUUGGCCCGUAAUCCGGGUUGCGGACAGUGUCUGGUGGGUAGUUUGACUGGGGCGGUCUCCUCCUAAAGAGUAACGGAGGAGCACGAAGGUUGGCUAAUCCUGGUCGGACAUCAGGAGGUUAGUGCAAUGGCAUAAGCCAGCUUGACUGCGAGCGUGACGGCGCGAGCAGGUGCGAAAGCAGGUCAUAGUGAUCCGGUGGUUCUGAAUGGAAGGGCCAUCGCUCAACGGAUAAAAGGUACUCCGGGGAUAACAGGCUGAUACCGCCCAAGAGUUCAUAUCGACGGCGGUGUUUGGCACCUCGAUGUCGGCUCAUCACAUCCUGGGGCUGAAGUAGGUCCCAAGGGUAUGGCUGUUCGCCAUUUAAAGUGGUACGCGAGCUGGGUUUAGAACGUCGUGAGACAGUUCGGUCCCUAUCUGCCGUGGGCGCUGGAGAACUGAGGGGGGCUGCUCCUAGUACGAGAGGACCGGAGUGGACGCAUCACUGGUGUUCGGGUUGUCAUGCCAAUGGCACUGCCCGGUAGCUAAAUGCGGAAGAGAUAAGUGCUGAAAGCAUCUAAGCACGAAACUUGCCCCGAGAUGAGUUCUCCCUGACUCCUUGAGAGUCCU